rnacentral:lncRNA from 1 species
UCUCCCCAGUUUUUGCCCCCUGUGGAGGUGUUACUGCCUCCAUUGAGAAUGCAUGUACUAGCAGUUUCGUUUUUCACAUGACACAUCACAAAGUACAACAGAGAGCAUCUCUUGGUAGCCAUCUCAGAAGAGCAGUUAAACAUUCUUUUUCAAAAGCCUUGUGUACUCCUACUUCCAUAAAAAAACUAUAAAACAGCCUCAGGCAGGUCCUUCAGGAGGUAUUCCAGAAGAAGGCAUUGUUAUCAUAAGAGAUGACUGCUCCAUGCGUGUUAUUGCCCCUGAAGACUUUCUGGUGGGACAAGAUGUGGAGGUGGAAGAUAGUGAUGUUGAUGAUCCUGACCCUGUGUAGGUAGACCUAGGCCAACAUAUGUUUGUCUUACUUUUUAGCCAAAACGUUUAAAAACUACAAAAAAAUAAAUAAACAGAAAAAAGUGUAUAGAAUAAGG